GACGAACGCUGGCGGCGUGCUUAACACGUGCAAGUCGAACGGAAAGGCCCUGCUUUUGUGGGGUGCUCGAGUGGCGAACGGGUGAGUAACACGUGAGUAACCUGCCCUUGACUUUGGGAUAACUUCAGGAAACUGGGGCUAAUACCGGAUAGGAGCUCCUGCUGCAUGGUGGGGGUUGGAAAGUUUCGGCGGUUGGGGAUGGACUCGCGGCUUAUCAGCUUGUUGGUGGGGUAGUGGCUUACCAAGGCUUUGACGGGUAGCCGGCCUGAGAGGGUGACCGGCCACAUUGGGACUGAGAGACGGCCCAGACUCCUACGGGAGGCAGCAGUGGGGAAUAUUGCACAAUGGGCGGAAGCCCGAUGCAGCAACGCCGCGUGCGGGAUGACGGCCUUCGGGUUGUAAACCGCUUUCGCCUGUGACGAAGCGUGAGUGACGGUAAUGGGUAAAGAAGCACCGGCUAACUACGUG
rnacentral:rRNA from 1 species